UACGAAGGGUGCGAGCGUUAAUCGGAAUUACUGGGCGUAAAGCGCACGUAGUCGGCUUUGCAAGUCGGUUGUGAAAUCCCCGGGCUCAACCUGGGAACUGCAUCCGAGACUGCAUUGCUAGAGUAUGGGAGAGGAAAGCGGAAUUUCUGGUGUAGCAGUGAAAUGCGUAGAUAUCAGAAGGAACAUCAGUGGCGAAGGCGCUUUCUGGACCAAUACUGACGAUCAGGUGGCGAAAGCGUGGGGGAGCAAACAGG
rnacentral:rRNA from 1 species